rnacentral:rRNA from 1 species
CCUACGGGAGGCUGCAGUGGGGAAUAUUGGACAAUGGGGGGAACCCUGAUCCAGCCAUGCCGCGUGUGUGAAGAAGGCCCUCGGGUUGUAAAGCACUUUCAGUGAGGAAGAACGCCUGGUGGUUAAUACCCAUCAGGAAAGACAUCACUCACAGAAGAAGCACCGGCUAACUCCGUGCCAGCAGCCGCGGUAAUACGGAGGGUGCGAGCGUUAAUCGGAAUUACUGGGCGUAAAGCGCGCGUAGGUGGCUUGAUAAGCCGGUUGUGAAAGCCCCGGGCUCAACCUGGGAACGGCAUCCGGAACUGUCAAGCUAGAGUGCAGGAGAGGAAGGUAGAGUUCCCGGUGUAGCGGUGAAAUGCGUAGAGAUCGGGAGGAAUACCAGUGGCGAAGGCGGCCUUCUGGACUGACACUGACACUGAGGUGCGAAAGCGUGGGUAGCAAACAGGAUUAGAUACCCCUGUAGUC